rnacentral:snRNA from 1 species
GGAUGUGAGGGCCAUCUGGCUGUGACAUCUGUCACCUCAUUAAUUGCCAGGGCCAAUUCGGCUGAUCUGGCUGGCUAGGCGGGAGUUCCCAUCCUCCCUCACCACUCCAUGUGUUUCCCUCCAGAAGCUGCAAGCUUGGUCAAAGAAGAUCACCACCCGCACAAUCAGGCCCUUUUUCUCAGUCAAAGAUAUGCAAACAGCUGCGGUCCCCUGCCAAAGAAGUUCUCAAGAUGCCCUGUCUCCUCUGCUCAAAUGUCAGGGCAGAGAAGCUUCCUGUGACCAUACAGAACUAACAACUU